CGUCUAUAUACGUAUAGCAUAUCAAUAAGCGGAGGAAAAGAAACUAACUAGGAUUCCCUUAGUAACGGCGAGUGAAGCGGGAAGAGCUCAAAUUUGAAAUCUUCAAGGUUCUACCUUGACGAAUUGUAGUUUAAAGAAGUGUUUUCUGUUGGAGUUUUGGUAAAAGUUCUUUGGAAUAGGACAUCAUAGAGGGUGAGAAUCCCGUAUUUGACCAUUUUUCCAACUUUGUGAUACACUUUCAAAGAGUCGGAUUGUUUGGGAAUGCAGUCCAAAAUGGGUGGUAAAUUUCAUCUAAAGCUAAAUACUGGCGAGAGACCGAUAGCGAACAAGUACCGUGAGGGAAAGAUGAAAAGAACUUUGAAAAGAGAGUUAAACAGUACGUGAAAUUGUCAAAAGGGAAGCGUUUGACACCAGUGUUGUUUUCUCGAAAAUCAAUUAAAAAUGGCUGGGAUUUUGUGUUGUAUUGACUUUAUCAGCUUUCUGCACUUUUUUCCUGUCUUUUUUAAUGCACUUUUCGUUUAACAAGUCAACAUCAAUUUCUUUUGUUGUAAAAGGGUCAUUGGAAGGUGGCUUUCUUUUCGGAGAAAGUGUUUAUAGCCUUUGACUUCUGCAAUCGGAGAGAUUGAGGUCUGCAGCGUAGAUCCUUCGGGGUUAGAUGCAUUUGUGCUAAGUUAUAGCCUUUCAUAGACAACUUGUUGACUAUGAUCAGUCAUGUAGCUUACUCGCUUAUGUCAUUUUACCUACGCUUAGGAUGUUGACGAUCAGCUGAGCGCG
rnacentral:rRNA from 1 species